ensembl:ncRNA asRNA:CR44029 antisense RNA:CR44029
AGUAAUGAUCUUUAAAGCAGCUCAGCAGAAACAGUGCAGUGCUGCUGACCGGAUUGCUCUGUCACAUAUACACAUAUGUAUGUACAUAUACACAAUCACUAAGAUAAUAUAAGUAUAUACAUUUAUGUACACAUGAUUGCUAGUCAGAAAUAUGCAAGUGACAUGUACAUAGGUAUGUAAGUGUUUAAGCUAUGUACGUUGUAUCGGCAAUAUGCAUGGUUAUCGAACAAAAAACACUCAGUUCUGUAUAAAUACAAAAAAGGAAUUAUAUUAACAGUUUAAUGCAAUAUAUUAGUUAAGGAAUAAUAUUAGGUUCAAAAGAUAUAACUAUAUAACAUAAACAUGUAAAAAAAGAUACAUCAACUUGCAUUGAAACAGUGUACAUUAUGUAUGUACAUAUGCCCUAACUAAAACAUACAUACAUACAAUCAUGUAAAUGUCUGAGAACUGCUCUGCGCUUAUAUGUACAAACAAACUAUAGUAGUUUAAAAAGUCCCCGAGUCUGCAAGUCAUUGAAGAGAGUUUUCCAUUUCACAAAAUUUUUUUUUAAUUCAGUGGUGUUUAAUGCAAGUAAGACUAACUCAUUUGUGUGUGUACAUGUGAUUAUAUUGGACACACAUACAUACAAAAUAUGUGUUUGAUUAAAAACGCAUUAUUAAAUAAAAAUUUUAUUACUGCAUGGGCAAUAAGUUUCGGUUUGCCGAAACAAACUUUCUUCCAUGUUCAUUAAAGACUACAAUACAAAAAUUAAAUUUUUUGUAUAGGCGCAUUAUUGCCUAUUGUAUUCUUCUCUAAAAAUCCUAUAAUUAUUAAAUAGUUAUACAUAAGCAGAGUCAGGAGAGUUUGUUUUUCAAAUUACAGGGGGUUUUAACCACUAGUAAUCCCUAUCAGCUUAGAAGAUGAAAAGCAAGAAUUUGACUAUCAGGGGCAAGUUUUCUAUACGCUUUUAAGAAAUCAUGGAAUAUCAUAGGAUAAACGCAGUACAUAAUAACAUCUAUCAUAGAAAUACAAUAUUUAUGGACCAGUAUAUAGUAUAAAUAAUGCUUUAAAAAUAAUAACAUAGAUAUACUGCAGCUUUUUUAAUUUAAAAAACCACAAAGCCAGAAGUGAAACCCGCUAUAAUUUUAAAUACUUUAAUGCUUUUCUUAUUUAUCUAAAAUAUUUAGUUGUGAGUAAUUUAUUACAUUAUAGAUAUGAAAACAUAACAUCCAGUUUUUUGUUAAUUUUUUUUUAUAGUAAAAGGCAAACCAAUUCGACCAACAACAAUAGCAAUUAUACCUAAAUGCCUAAAAUGUGAAUUGAAACAAAAAUAAUACGCGUGUUAAGACAUACGUUUACAAUUUUGCUGCGGAGUACAAUAACACAUAAAAGAAUACGAACAUUGAAAAAAUAAGCAGAAAUUUAUUUACAAAAAUUAUACGGAAAAGCAUCAACCUUUCUUUAGAAACCUUUAUUUAUAUAUAGAAAUGUUAUACCAACAUCAGAAAUUAUAUUUUGUUCAAGUAAUGCACCGAAUUAUUGGUUUUUAUCUUGAAAACAAUAAAACAAUUUGGUCUACGCAGCGAAUGGUAAUAGAUCUGUAACCGUAUUUGCUAUUGAAUAAUAGAUUAAAAAUGUUGAGCUACUAUUAUCCAAAAGAGGCUGACUAACUAUUAUUUUGAAUUCAUUUUUCCCGUCCCUGACCAACUUUUUGAACAAUUUUAUGCAAAUAUAUUUAAAACAAUAGUAAUAGUAAUAUAGUCGAGUUCCCCGGUACCCAGCUAGUGAAUGUGCCAACGAGAAGUUUCAACAUUUUCUGCAAUAACGGUAGAAUAUAGAGAAAAAAUAUUAAAGCAUUGGAAAAAUUAACCUGUAAUAAGUUAACCGGGGAACUCGACUAUACCUUUCUCUCUUGAUUUUCCAUUAAAAAAAAGUACAAAAUAAAAUCAUUAGUUUUCUUUUAGUAGCCCAUUCAUAUAUAAAUAAUAUUCACGGUAGAUAAUACUAAAGUAUAAAGGAACAUUUCCAGUGAUUAAGGAAAUUACAUUUGAAUCAAUCUACUUUAAAUAUAAUUAUGUUAUUGUGGGUAUUUAUAACUCUAUAUGGGAUAAUAUCAUAAAAAUUAGUAACCAAUUAAAUGUUCAUUAGAAGUAGAAAUAACAAAUUUGAAGUAUUAUUUUUGCAAAGUAAAAAAGCAAAAUUUAUUAUAAAAUAAAUGUAAAAAUAAUAAAAUUUAAAUAUCGUUUACGAAAACUACAGUAAGGUGGUUUAUACCCUUUUUUCCCCGUAUCACGUAAAACAACAAAUUAUGCAUUUAUUUAUAUUAAUCUCAAGCCCAAGAAAAAAAGACCCUUUGCUUUUAAGUAAUUGAUAGGAAUUCAGUUUGUAGUGGUAAAAUUGAAAAUAAAAAUUUAGGAUGCAAUUAAAGGAUAAAAUUAUAAGACAACAUAAAAAUGAGGUAAGCAAUGCCAAAUGGCUUUGUUUGUGUACCUGUAAUUGUUAGUUUGCAUGACCACUUAGAUGUUCCCUCAACUGUUGCGUGCUCAGCCUGCUCUAAUGAAUCUAUGUGUGUAUCGGGAUCCACACCGAAUGUCAUCCUUAAAUUAAAUUAGUUACAUAUAUUUUUGAUUUGGGUUUUUAGACAUUCCAAGAAAAUUUUUUAAAUAUCAACAUACUAAUUUUUAUUGGCCAGGCGGUGCGCACACUUAUUUACCCUGUACCCAGAUUAAAAAAUUAAAUUAUUAUAUCAUAACAACAAAGAGGACUGCCCAACUUAUUUCUUAUUGACUCCAUUUAUGUGUUUACCUUAGCAAAAGCUAAAAACUGAAUCUUACAUGUUAGGGCGGCGAGCCCAUACAUGAAAUUAGGCCGCGAGGCUAAUAUAAUACUGGCCCCAUUUAGAACCAAAUUACACGCUUUUGUUCUUUGCCACAUAAGAUUAUUGACUGCUGAAUAAUAAUAAAAAAAUUGUAAACUUUUUGAAUAGAAAUAAACUCGCAGCUUAUUUUAUAUGUGGAUUCAUGUAUACAUGUAUGUAAUGCGUACAUGCAUAUCACACAUUUUUAAAAUACAAAGGUUAAAUACAGUUACACAAAAUCUCACAUUCCUUAUUGUAAACCAAUGUUGUAUUUUUAUAUACAUACCAAUAUAAUAAUAAUGAAUACAGCGUGUCAUUCCAAUGCGAAUUGCAAAUACAUUCACAUACAUCCAACUUAAAUUAAACCGACAACAGAAAACUAGGACGGUGAGAGGAAACUUUCAAACCUGUGAUUGCUAUUUUGGCCGACCACUUGCUUGUACCAUCCAGGACGCUUUGCUUCACAGCCUUCAUAUGACCGGCAUGACUCUUCUCCUCAACGCUGAACACGGCUCUAGUGAAUGAAUCCCAUUUUAAAGUUAACUUUCUUUUGUGUGUAAUAGUUCUGGCCGCUUACCAAACUAGCUUACUUAUUUUAGUAUUUAAGAGUUGGAGUUUGCAUAACAUCAAGUAUUAUUUUGUUUAGAUUAACUUAUUACCCCCACUUAAGGUUUUGAAAUUAAAAUAAUUAAAGGCUUUAUCACUGUAAUUAUACGCACUAGUCAACUUUUACUAUUGAAUGUAAUAUUACCUAAUCAACUCAAAAAUUUCAGGCUUCUCUCGUUCACGUUGCUUCAUACGAUCUUUCAUCGCUGUAAUAAUCGAGUUAGCCUUGUCUUCCGCACCGUGCUUUGAGCUUUUUUCGGCAGCACCUUUGAUUGUAGGAUACAAUUUAUUGCUUUUUAAAUGUACAUGUGUGGUGAAUAUACUUACGCUGCAGGCAGUCCGCAUUCAGAAGGUCCUUACAUUUUUCAUGACACUUUACACCGCACUCAGUGCAACGGACCCCUUGUCGUGCUAUCCCCCACAAAAGACCCUCACACUCGUAGCAGUACGUUGGUGACGUAGCAGUCCAUAACAAAAAAUUGUGGGGCGUUGUUGAGGAUAUAGGAUAUAUCAGGGCUUGUAGAGCUUUUUUGUACACGUGCAUUUUCUAUGGAUUGGAAACAGAUAACGAUAGAUUACAAAAAAAAUCAAAUAACAUUUCCUUCUGUUCAAACCAAAUAAAAUAUAAAGAUACUUUAAAACAAGCAAAAUGUGCCAACGCUAUAAAAUAACAGGUUUUACGGUCAUUUUAUUUGCGCACUAGCUCUAAUGUAUAUUUUAUCAAAUUUAAAAAUUAAGCAAAUGGCCUUACCAGAUCUUCGUCAUUCAGCGUUGCACGUGGAACAGCAGAUGUGAGUCCAGCAUUUCGUUUUGUAGCGGCCAUUGUCUAAAGGGACGUAACGAGGAAUUAGACAUCAAUGAGUUCAUUUUAAGCAUUUAAUAAAUUUUAUUAUGUUAAAAGAUCUCUAUUCAAUCUCGGCGUUAAAACAUAAUAGCCAAAUAAACGUUCUUCAUCACAGCUCUACUGAAGAUACUUAAGAAAUAUUUAAUUACGCUAAUAAAAAGCGUUACAGGCAGAAUGCGAACACAAAUAAGAGUUAAUAAAAUAAUAAGAGUUUUGAGAUAAAUACAAUUAAAAGUGCACGAAUCUUUAUGUACGAGUACCAUUGGUAUACUUUCUUAAUAAUUUUAAACGACUGUAAUACUGUACGAUUUUCGUAUUUUUGUAAUGAUCUUUCUAUGCUUUAUAAUAGAUAUACUUUCAAACGUGUAUGUGUUUUAUCUACCAACCGUGGUCUCGACAUUUUCUUGCAAACUUAGGAGAUAACAUUGAUCCAUUUUCGAGGGCGCAUUAGGAUAAUUCGCCUGAUAGCCGGUGACCAAAAGAAUCAAAAAUUAUUAAUUACUCACGAAAUUAAUUACGUAAGAUGCAUCAUUAAACAUAUUAAUUUUUUAAACAAACAACGUCGUCAAUUACAUUAUUUUUAAUUUAAGAUGGGGAAUUUACUAAAUCAAUUUGUAUGCCAUUUCGUUUACUGGCUUUCGCACGACAUCGAAUUUAAGUAAUCCUGAAUUAUAUUCUACGCUACCAUCGAUUUGAAAGUUUGCAAUAGAAGAAAUGAAUGAGGCCAAAUACACUGGCCUUUUUUACGAAUACAAAACUAUAUUGCCAGUCCGCUCCUCUAUAGCAAUUACGAAGGCUUUGAUUAAAUUCUACACGUCUUUUUUGUAUAAAGUACACAUAUAUUUUCUUGUUGUUUAAAAUGAAAGAAGUUUGUUUUCUAAAUCAAAUUUUUGUUAUAUUGCAGUUAAGAAAAAACUUUAGAGGGUCUUACUAGUGCGAUGUUAAACAAAAUUAGCAUUUUAACGGUGUUAUGAUGGCUACCAAAUUAUUCUCUGAAAUCCUGAAUAAUCUACAGUGUAUUUUUGUACGCAUGCACGAAAUUAUAUAUUAAAUUAAAUAAUUUAAUAUUAUAUUGUAUUAAUAAAUAUUAUUA